GCUAAGAUUUUGCAAUCACCUGGACUCAUUAUCUUGAUGAGGUCUGUUCAGUUCGUUGCAUCUCAAACUGUUGAGUUCGUGCAGGAUCUGGCACAGCAGUACAGUGCAGAGCUAAGCCCUGUUUUGUUUGGAGAUGGAGAUUGUUUCCUUGUAUAUGUCCAAAGAUAUUUCAUCAACUCUUGUGCGGAAUGAUGAUUUCAUAAAAUUCAUGGGUAGAUUGAAUCCUCUAUUCAAAAGACCAGCAGGCUUCAUGGAUGAGCAAUCGGCAAACUCUGAAAUGCAGAAGUAGAAUUUCAAUAGCAUCUGCGAUUACUAUCAUGUAAGUCACUUAUCCUAACUUACUCAUAGUCUGAUACUUCCUGCUUUUCAUCUCUCUAUUGGGUGUGUAAACAUUUUACCACAGUUAAAGAAUCAAAGUGAAAACAAACAUAAACAUCAGCAAACUAAACUAAAGCUCUUCUAAAGAAAGGUAAAUUUCAGAGGAGAAAGAAAGAAGAAAAUGUGAUCAUUGUGGGUUAACAUAGUGGGCCAGAUGAGAUGGGCUCUGCAAAGCUUGAACACCAUGAUCAAACCAUGACCAUUCUUUCCUUCGUCUGCCUUUUCUGUGAGGAAGAAAAAAGAGGGUCAUAAUGUUGUGGAGGUGCAGCAACGCAAGAUUCUUUAUCAAUUAUUGAGACAAAUCACUGAUCGGUUCCCUUACACCAUAGACUACGGUCCAUGGCCGGCUGCAAUAAUAUAAUCCUCUCAUCAUAACGCCUUGAAACGAAUCAUCAAUAACAAAACAUGAGAACGGCUACAAGAUUAGGAUUGGCUAAUCAUUUUUUCCCUAAUGGCUAGACAACUCAGCUGCUGCCUGCUUCUUUGGAGAAAGACUGAGUUGCAUGUACUUUUGUGGUAGUGCCAUUGCUGAUGCCCUCACAAAACAGUAGCUCUGUCCUUAGUCGUAGAUAAAUAAAAAAAAUAAAAAGCUCAUCCUUUUGUUCCCCAAUAUAUAUUUAUAUUCACAAAUAUGUACUAAUUUUACUUCAGCACAAGAAGUUCUUGAACGAAUAUAUAACUCGAUCAAUAGAAGUAUUGUAGCACAUGUGGUUUUCAGAUAUUGGAAAGUUUCAUUGAAUUUAGCCAAUUACAUUAAGGCGAUACAAAUUAUGUCUGUAUAAGAUAUGUAAUGAUGCAUGUAACACGUUUUUUUUUGUUUUGAGAGGGGAAUUGUGAGGUGGUUAUUGUUCCAGCGUUCCAACCUCUAACUACCUGAGCACACUGAUGCCAUUUGGUCAUGCAUGCUGAAAUUAAAAUGCUACCGGUACAGAGGCUGACGCCAACUAAUUAAGCAGCUGCCUAUCCUGAAAAUAAAACUAACUUGUUUCAGUUAGCUGGUUAUAUAUCCAGAAACUAUUCAUCUACACAAGUAAGGUACUAAAAAGAUGGAAAUUUUUUUGUGCUAAUGAACUUUCCCUCUCUGUGAUACACCAUACACCUGCAAACUCAUGACAGUAAUCAAAAGGCUAUAACUUUAUAUUACUACUAGAGGUUGUAAGGACUCUGUCUACUGUUGGUUGUUGCAUGCAUUAGAGUCAGUAAGGACUCUGCCUAGCUAGCAGGCCUCUUUUGCAAAAACAUGUUUUUUACAUGCUAAUUGAGCACCAGAAAUGCUGUCGGCAAAGACCAGUAGGUUUUUUUUUUUCAGCCAAACUCAGUCUGUCAUUCACAUGCUUUUGGCAACAUCAAAAGUUCAAAACAAAAACCCUGCUGUAUUGCAUAUACUAGAUACUAAAAAAAUAUUAGAAAAAGAACCUUGCACCUAUCUUAGACAAAUGGACUCUAUACAGCACCACAUCCUAGCCAAGAUAGCAUAUUAGCAUCCAAACAAUUGAGAGGAGAACAGCAUGAUAAUGAUAUGAGCAUGCUUAACAGAUAACACUACUUGCAAAGUACAAGAGGGCACAUAUUUAUAUGUUGCCGAUCGGCUGUUGUACAGUUCCAUGGUAGUAUGUAUGUUGUAAUGUUGCAUGAUAUCAGCAUGCUAGUUUGAGUGUUUUGGAAGAUGGACCAGUUCAGUACUCUUACAGCCUCCAAUUAGAUGCCACAGAAAUUUAUCAACUACUCUUAUUAGUUCUCAUCUGCUAAUUAUUAUUUGAUCUGAUGGUUGUACUUAUACAUGUGCUCAUUUACAAUUGAGCUAUUCCCUCUGUUUUAAAUUUACUUGUUCUUCUACCUUUCUCCCAAGCUAAACAUCUGUAUCAUUGAUCAUAAAUUUAUAGAAAUUCAUAUAGUUUAAUAUCAUAAGGUUUAUGUCUUUAGAUUCACCAUGAGAAAUACUUUCGUAAUAUAUAAUUCCUAUGUUGCCAAACCACAUAAAUAUUUAAAAACUUGAUAAAAGAUAAAAAUGUUUGACUUACGACAAAACUAAAAUGGCAAUCACUGUGAAAUGGAGAGAGCACUGUACAGCCCAUAUAGAACAACGCCCUGUCCAAUUGCAUGCACCCCUCUAUGUCUCAGUCUUUCUCCCUACAGGAGUACUGUAGCUAGCUAGAGUACCAAGAGUGCACUGUUGAUGCACUGAACUCGGUCCAUCCAUGGCGCCUGGUGUUGUUGCAGAUACAUAUGCCUGCCUAUCUACAUGGCCGGUAGUAGCCCUGUAGCUGGGUGCAUGCUCAGACUAAUCUGAACUGAACCCAUUGAUGAUGUUGUGUCAAUGGGCCCUGCAGUGAACCAGUCAGCAUCUCUGUAUCAGCAAAAGCUUUUUUUUCCUGCAUUGCUUCCAGUAUCAGACCAUCAGUACCAGGUUUUGGAGGCACAUGUUAUAAUGGUGCUCAGUUUUGCAAUUGAUAGCUGCAACUCCUAUCUUGCUGCCUUCUUAACAGAAUGUUGCGAUGAACAGGGCAAAGCUGCAACAUAUUUGAAGUGCACCUGCACCGUCUGAUCAUAUCUGAACCUCUGAUGGACCUGCAAAAGCUCUGCACUCACCACACACCAUAAAUAAUGUCCCAGGAGCUACUAAUUCAGAGCUUAAAACCGAACACACAUAUCAAAAUCAACUUCCUUUCAGUGGUGUGCUCUGUGCUAGAUGCCAAAUGUGCAACAAUAACAGACAACAGAAAUGCUCCAAAACCAAAAGGCUAUGCAUAGCUCUAUAGGGCACAGAUAGAGGAGCAGCCUAAUGAGCAAAUUUGUUGACAAGUAAAUGUUGACAGGGCAGAACAACAGUGUCAUCCUCUCCUUCUUGGUGUAUCAUAUGCAUGCAUGUGUGUGUUCACUGUAGUGUAGUACUUUUGCCACUGGAAAAGCCAAAGAUCUCCAGUAGUAGGGUUCUUCCUAGCACUGAACAAAGAGGAAAGCUUUGACCCACUGGAAAUGUGCAAAUAGGAGUAGCAUCCUAGCUAUAUCUUCUCCUCCUUGUCCUUGACAUGGAGUAUAGUAAAGUGUAGACAGUAGUUGUACUUAAUACUCCUUCUAGAUUACUAGUACACAUGUACUAUAUAUGCAUGCUGGGUACUCAUUACUAUGUGAUUUAUGUAUCAAGUACACAGUUGAAAUGCAUGCCCUAGUGACUCAUUUGACUUGGAGAACACAUACACCAUGGAGGUGUUUAGAUGUUUCUUUCAAUGAAUGGAGAGGAGUCACAUUGACAUAUAUGCUCAUAGAACAGCUAUUCAAACCUUAUUUGUGAUUGUGAAACUCUUCUAUUAUAAACUAUAUGUGGAACUGCAAUACAAUAGUGGCAUGAA